UUGUUCUCAGAAUCCACUGGUCAUCAAAAGGCCGCCACACAAAUGCAGCAGGGGGGACGGCCCCUGGCUUAGCUGUGACCCAGCUGUGAGCUCUUCUGUCACGGGAAAAACUCCGGGCAGGCGGUUGCUUUCUGCGUGUGGAAUGUCAGCCGGCCCUGCCUUGGCCUGCCCUUCCUGGAAUCUGGUCCGUCUUUCCCAUCAACUCUGUUUUCCAUUUCUUUCCAGACCACCUUCCUCCAACUGAUCUCCAGGACAGUGUGCACCUGCACGAUUUGCUUUCAUACCUACUACGGGGUUUGCGCCACCUGCGAGGGCCUCCAGCCCCUUGAAGUGAUUGGUUCCGGUUUUGGCGCCUCACCUCGUAGGCCGGCAGGAUCUGAAGGGAAGUCUGCUGGGAACUUACGGGAAAGAGAGUUCUCACUGGUGCGGUGACAGGUGAGAGGGAGCCCUCGUCUUCAUCAAAUGGAUGCCUGGAGUGCAUUCAGCCCUUCCAGCUCCGGAGGCCCCGGCUAAGGGGAUCGUGCAGGCAGAGCAGGAAGCCCUGUGGGAGCACCUGGGCCCGCAUCCUUGGACAGAAUUCCACCUUCAUCUGCUGUGAUGACUCGACCUCCGGUUACUGUUCACCCCAUUCUGUUUCUGCAGGCGACACAGAGUGAGUUCAGAGUUUUCAUUUGACGAUCACAGGGGUCCAAGGCACCACCUCCCUAAAGGUUAAGGAUGUCUGCAGAAGGGGUUCAGUUAGAUGCUGAUUCACUGGUUGAUUGACAGAGCACACAGAACCCCUGGAACGUUGUUCCUCUGAGUAAUGCAGGCACCACGCCUGGGAACCUGCUGGGUUUGCUUAGAGGAGGUUGUCUAAUAGGUGUGCUGUUCCUCCACUCAAGCCCACUGCUCGGCACUGCCAGGCUGCGGAGAGAGCUUAGGCCCAGCAGGGGUCCGGGGAGCGCUGUCCUGGGAGAAGCCAGGGACGACCUCCUCUAGGGCGUGCAGAACAAGCAGACUUCAUGCACACGCCUCCUCUGAGUUGUAGUGUUGAGACCCAGUCUGAAGCUGUGCCUACAUUUAACUGCGAGCUGCCUCGAUUAUUAAAAUGCCCC
rnacentral:lncRNA from 1 species